CUCGUCUCUAUGUACCCUAGCAAAUUUUGCAAAAAUUGUAGUUCGUAUUACGUUGGUUUACAGUGGAUCAACGUAAUUCCACACAAAUGGUGUCGAAUCCAUCCAGUGACGUGGAGUAAUUAUUUUUCUUAUGUUCCUCCCUAUUAGGUAAUUAAUAGGUAUUUCAUAUCUCAUAGCAAGCACGCAUAAUUUCCGGUUUAUCUGUAAUGCACAGCUUAUUUUUCUUAAUAUUACGUAGAAUCGAAAAAUGACAACAUAUUUGCAUAAUCCUAGGGGCACCGCCAUAUGCCUGUGAACGUGUGUACGUAAAAAUGAGAGCGUAGAGUACAUCUAUCGGCCGGUUUCUGAAACAGGUAGUGGGACUCCGUAAUUUCCGAGUAAUCAGUGUUAGUCUGAUUCUACAGUAUAAUAUUUGUCUGACUUUAUUGUAUACUAUUUGCCGAUUUUAUUGUAUAAUAUUUGUUUUAUUUUAAUAUAUAAUAUUUGUCUAAUUUUUUGCAUAUUUGUCUGAUUUUAUUAUAUAAUAUUAAACACAGGAGAAGCUAUAAGUGGACAUCAGAAUAGGAAUGGUUGUGAUUGAUCAUUUAUACGACACCUUCGAAUAAUCGCUUAAAGAGAAAAAGGUUACGUCAAGCCUGUGUCUUUAUUGUAUAAGAGAAGCGACUGAGAAGCAAUGACAUUCCACUUGCGUUACGUCUGAUUUGCGAUCAGUACUCUACCAGACUUUCUUCUGUUUCAUGUUAAAUUAUGCGUCAUAAGCUGCGGAAAGAUUGUAAGAGAGACGUGUAAGAACUGUAUGAGAGUUGAGAAAACGUUGUUUGAAAGAAGUCCAAUAUGUGUGUAAAAGUUGUGUGAGACUUAUGUGAAAGAUACGUACAACUUGUGAGAAAAUUCUGUAGAAGUUGUGUAAAAAGUUUAGUCCGAAGGUUGUGUCCGAGGUUGUGUCUGAAGGUUGUGUCCGAGGUUGUGUCUGAAGGUUGUGUCCGAGGUUGUGUCCGAGGUUGUGUCUGAAGGUUGUGUCCGAGGUUGUGUCCGAGGUUGUGUCUGAAGGUUGUGUCCGAGGUUGUGUCCGAGGUUGUGUCCGAGGUUGUGUCUGAAGGUUGUGUCUGAAGGUUGUGUCCGAGGUUGUGUCUGAAGGUUGUGUCCGAGGUUGUGUCCGAGGUUGUGUCUGAAGGUUGUGUCCGAGGUUGUGUCCGAGGUUGUGUCUGAAGGUUGUGUCCGAGGUUGUGUCCGAGGUUGCGU